CUCACUUUAGCGAUCGGACAUUUCCCCCUGGAAGAAAAUUGUAAACCCUAGCAGAGCGUGACGACAUCCCGAUUCGAACCUCCCCUGAGAAGCUCCAGCCGAACCUCCCCGAUUCGUGCCAUAGCCCAGCCAAUCUAAUGGAUUACUGCCGUCGUCGGCUUCAGUAUUGAGCGACAGCAGGCCUUGAUCCAACUUUUCAUCUAAAUCCUCAAUGUAAAGCGGCUCCGCAGCAUAUCAAAAUUAAUUCAACGGAUUGAGUCGAAAUUGAGCUUCUGAUUUCAAAUCCAUACGAGGACCGGAGGAACAGAGAGUUACCUUUCGAAUGGGUGAACCAAACGAAGACAUCAUCGCAGAGCUUAUUCGCUAUGUCUCGAGAGUUGCGGCUGCCCCACUCGUUCUCGACGGCCAUCUGGAGGGCGGACCACCUGGAGAGAACCAUGUUUAUGCCUUCCCUGAGCAUCGGCAACGCUUCCGAAGACAAAGGCUUUGGCAGCUCCAUCAGGUAUAGUCGGUCCGCCGUCUGCUGUUCUCUGCUGGUGGUUGUCUCUGCACGAGUCUUCCCGGAACUGACGGUCUCUGCUCCCCCCAGCAUGGCGGAAGGGCUUGACCGGAGCAUGGGGAAGAGCCCCCGAGGUGAAAUGAGCGCUAGGGUUUCUCGACGGAGGGGAGAAAAAUUGUAUUUAUAUGAAGGGCAUUUUUGUCUUUUUAUCCUAUUCCUGUUCUUUCUAUUCCUUAUUCAACCCAACCAAACAUCAGAAUUAUAAUUCUAUUCCCUGUCUAUUCCCUCCAACCAAACACAAAAAUUUCAUCAGAAUUUUCAUUCUAUUCCCUGUCUA